UACGUAGGGUGCGAGCGUUAAUCGGAAUUACUGGGCGUAAAGAGCUCGUAGGCGGUUUGUCGCGUCGAAUGUGAAAACCCGGGGCUCAACCCCGGGCCUGCAUUCGAUACGGGCAGACUAGAGUUCGGUAGGGGAGUCUGGAAUUCCUGGUGUAGCGGUGAAAUGCGCAGAUAUCAGGAGGAACACCGGUGGCGAAGGCGGGACUCUGGGCCGAUACUGACGCUGAGGAGCGAAAGCGUGGGGAGCAAACAGG
rnacentral:rRNA from 1 species